GAUGAACGCUAGCGGCAGGCCUAAUACACGCAAGUCGAGGGGCAGCAUAGUAGCAAUACUGAUGGCGACCGGCGCACGGGUGCGUAACACGUAUACAAUCUGCCUUCUACAGGGGAAUAGCUCGGAGAAAUCCGGAUUAAUGUCCCAUAAUAGAUCGACUGGCAUCAGUUGAUUUUGAAAGCUCCGGCGGUAGAAGAUGAGUAUGCGCAUGAUUAGCUAGUUGGUGAGGUAACGGCCCACCAAGUCUACGAUCAGUAGCUGAUGUGAGAGCAUGAUCAGCCACACGGGCACUGAGACACAGGCCCGACUCCUACGGGAGGCAGCAGUAAGGAAUAUUGGUCAAUGGACGAAAGUCUGAACCAGCCAUGCCGCGUGAAGGAUGAAGGUCCUCUGGAUUGUAAACUUCUUUUAUAUGGGACGAAAAAAGAUCAUUCUUGGUCACUUGACGGUACCAUUUGAAUAAGCACCGGCUGACUCCGUGCCAGCAGCCGCCGUAAAAC
rnacentral:rRNA from 1 species